CUGUGUCCUUCGACGCCGGUUCACCGCCUGUCGGUGCCAACUGGCGUUUUGCGGGACGUCCUGUCGGUGGUGUGUCAGGAAUCUUAGUUGUGCUAUGCUCUGCUUAGUGCAGCUCUGGUUUCGGGCCACUUUCAUAAUCCCGCCGCGGUGCUCUUAAUCGAGUGUCGAGGCGGGCCGGCACGUUUACUUUGAACAAAUUAGAGUGCUUCAAGCAGGCUUGUCACGCCUGUAUACUGUGUGCAUGGAAUAAUGGAAUAGGACCUCGGUUCUAUUUUGUUGGUUUCCGGAAUCUGAGGUAAUGAUCAAUGGGGACAGGCGGGGGCAUUCGUAUUGCGACGUUAGAGGUGAAAUUCUUGGAUCGUCGCAAGACGGACCGAAGCGAAAGCAUUUGCCAAGUAUGUUCCCGUCGAUCAAGAACGAAAGUUAGAGGUUCGAAGGCGAUCAGAUACCGCCCUAGUUCUAACCAUAAACAAUGCCUGCCAGCGAUCCGCCGGCGUCCCUCCGAUGACCCGGCGGGCAGCUUCCGGGAAACCAGAGCUUUUGGGUUCCGGGGGAAGUAUGGUUGCAAAGCUGAAACUUAAAGGAAUUGACGGAAGGGCACCACCAGGAGUGGAGCCUGCGGCUUAAUUUGACUCAACACGGGAAAACUCACCAGGCCCGGACACUGGAAGGAUUGACAGAUUGAUAGCUCUUUCUUGAUUCAGUGGGUGGUGGUGCAUGGCCGUUCUUAGUUGGUGGAGCGAUUUGUCUGGUUAAUUCCGAUAACGAACGAGACUCUAGCCUACUAACUAGACGUAUCUGGUAUCAUCAAUCGUGCUACCAGCGAUCAUAUCUCUUCUUAGAGGGACAGGCGGCUUCUAGCCGCACGAGACUGAGCAAUAACAGGUCUGUGAUGCCCUUAGAUGUACUGGGCCGCACGCGCGCUACACUGAAGGAAUCAGCGUGUCUUCCCUGUCCGAAAGGACCGGGUAACCCGCUGAACCUCCUUCGUGCUUGGGAUUGGGGCUUGCAAUUGUUCCCCAUGAACGAGGAAUUCCCAGUAAGCGCGAGUCAUAAGCUCGCGU
rnacentral:rRNA from 1 species